rnacentral:misc_RNA from 1 species
AAUCAUCAAGCCCCCGGAUUCGCGUCUGGAGGUUUGGACUUGGGGGUCUUUGCUGCCUUCUCGGCGGCUCCCCUUAAAUGCAUCGGUUGCGGCCCGUACGGCUUCAGUCCUAGGCGUUGUAUUGCCCUCGCCCUGUGUCUUGUCGGCAGUGCCCUUCCCCGACCGCCUUUGGAGCGGCGGUCAAUACUUAAUUGAA